UGAGGAAUAUUGGUCAAUGGACGCAAGUCUGAACCAGCCAAGUAGCGUGCAGGAUGACGGCCCUAUGGGUUGUAAACUGCUUUUAUAUGGGGAUAAAGUGGGGAACGUGUUCCCUUUUGCAGGUACCAUAUGAAUAAGGACCGGCUAAUUCCGUGCCAGCAGCCGCGGUAAUACGGAAGGUUCGGGCGUUAUCCGGAUUUAUUGGGUUUAAAGGGAGCGUAGGCCGUUUGGUAAGCGUGUUGUGAAAUGUAGGAGCUCAACUUUUAGAUUGCAGCGCGAACUGGCAGACUUGAGUGCGCACAACGUAGGCGGAAUUCAUGUUGUAGCGGUGAAAUGCUUAGAUAUCAUGACGAACUCCGAUUGCGAAGGCAGCUUACGGGAGCGCAACUGACGCUAAAGCUCGAAGGUGCGGGUAUCGAACAGG
rnacentral:rRNA from 1 species